GCUUUUAAAGGAUAACAGCCCAUCCGUUGGCCUUAGGAGCCAAAACCUCUUGGUGCAAAUCCAAGUAGAAGCU
rnacentral:tRNA from 1 species